rnacentral:rRNA from 1 species
UAAGCAUAUCAAUAAGCGGAGGAAAAGAAACCAACAGGGAUUGCCCCAGUAACGGCGAGUGAAGCGGCAACAGCUCAAAUUUGAAAUCUGGCCCCAGGCCCGAGUUGUAAUUUGCAGAGGAUGCUUUUGGCGCGGUGCCUUCCGAGUUCCCUGGAACGGGACGCCAUAGAGGGUGAGAGCCCCGUACGGUUGGACACCAAGCCUUUGUAAAGCUCCUUCGACGAGUCGAGUAGUUUGGGAAUGCUGCUCUAAAUGGGAGGUACAUUUCUUCUAAAGCUAAAUAUUGGCCAGAGACCGAUAGCGCACAAGUAGAGUGAUCGAAAGAUGAAAAGCACUUUGAAAAGAGGGUUAAACAGCACGUGAAAUUGUUAAAAGGGAAGCGCUUGUGACCAGACUUGCGUCCGGUGAAUCACCCAGCUCUCGCGGCUGGGGCACUUCGCCGGCACAGGCCAGCAUCAGCUUGCCGUCGGGGACAAAAGCUUCAGGAACGUGGCUCCUCUCGGGGAGUGUUAUAGCCUGUUGCAUAAUACCCUUCGGCGGGCUGAGGUACGCGCUCCGCAAGGAUGCUGGCGUAAUGGUCAUCAGCGACCCGUCUUGAAACACGGACCAAGGAGUCAACCUUAUGUGCGAGUGUUUGGGUGUCAAACCCCUACGCGUAAUGAAAGUGAACGCAGGUGAGAGCUUCGGCGCAUCAUCGACCGAUCCUGAUGUUCUCGGAUGGAUUUGAGUAAGAGCAUAUAGGGUUGGACCCGAAAGAAGGUGAACUAUGCGUGUGUAGGGUGAAGCCAGAGGAAACUCUGGUGGAGGCUCGCAGCGGUUCCGACGUGCAAAUCCAUCGUCAAACAUGCGCAUGGGGGCGAAAGACUAAUCGAACCUUCUAGUAGCUGGUUUCCGCCGAA